UCCAGCCCCCUAUUAUGCGUGAGCAUUUAAACAAACUAUACAAUUUAUGCACUUUCCGGCCAAAUUGCGAUUUAUUCAAAAAUGCGCUUAUUGUUCACCCUUCUUUACUGGGAAAGCGUCAUUGUGGGUUUCUCCAAUCGCUUCUGUAGCUGCAAAUACGUGGAAGGCACCCUGAAAACAAACCAGGUAAAUAAACACUGCAACAUCAACACUGAACACACAAAAAACUGUUUCAGAAUUGGGCUUUUCUGGCAAGGUUCUGCUUCCUUUCCGAGGAAGGCCAGUUUGAGUAUGUGAUCGACUACAAGGAAGACCAGGGCGAUAUCAACUUGCUUCUCUACUACGACACAGACGACCAAUGGCCUGCUGUUUACAAAUCAGCCAAGACGUGUGAGGAACGAGAGGCUGUCUUGAACGUGCAACAGAACCAGUUAGUUAACAUGACUGCAAGGGGAGAAGCAGCGCGACAGUUUGCUGGCUGUACAUUUGGGGCGCAAAGCUUCACCACCCCAACACCACUUUAUACCAUCAAUAUUCCAACGCCGAAAAGGCGCAAUGAUACCAGCAAAGGAACAGUCGCAAUAAAAACCAGUUCAACCACGCCUACUACCACCACAAUUAGAGUGUCAACCCAAACAGCUCCCAGUUUGGAAGCUGAGUCUUUUGGCACUACUGCGGAAGUGGACCAGAUGAGCACAUGGGCGUUUUCUACUGAAAGUUCCUUUACUUCUUCGCAAGAAGUCUUUGAAGCCAGCACACCAGUGGAGGUGGAAGCUUCAACUAAUGGCCCAGAAUUGCUUU
rnacentral:lncRNA from 1 species